GAUGGGUGGAUAGUGUCAUGGACGUUAGUUAAGAAUGAGCUGGUUCAUACAGAUGUCAUCAAGCUGUCAGUAGAAGGAGCAACGAUGCAGGGGCUAGAGGGACUACAGUUGCAAACGCUUGGCUGUGGGACAUCAUUUGAUUUUCACAAAA